GAGUGGGAAGGAAGCCAGGCUCCCUGGACGCUGAUGAAACGUGUCUGUUGUGGGCCUGUUGGGCAACGCUGAAACUGGGGAGGAAGGAACAGCAACCGCUGAGUCUCCUGCUGGGUCCGAGGAGGCUUGAGCAACGCCCCCAGCAGUUGCCUCAUCUCUGCCAAGCAGGGUGAUGAUGCCCCAGGGUGGGGUGUUGCACCAUGUUCUUAGAAAGCUGCCUCUGUACAUGCAUUUCCAUUUGGGGCCUGGACUGGUUUUGUUUAAUCAUUGUCUUUUUCACUUCCAAAUUUCUGAGGGCAAAUUGGGAGACCAUGAUGUGGUGAAAUGAUCAUUAGCCAACUUUCCCUGAGUACUUACUCCACAUCCUGUACUGUGCUAAGUCCCUUCAUGUACGUGAUCUCGUGGAAUGCACACACCAACCCUCUCAGUUACCCACGGUCAAGCUCCCAAAGCAGAUGAUCCUCCUUCCAAGGUAUCGGCAGAAGAUCAGAAGUGGCCUAACGCGACGUCACAGUGCCUACGUCAUUCGCCUCAUCACAUCUCAUCACGUGGGCCUUUUAUCAUCUCACAUCAUCACAGGAACAAGGGUGCUGAGCGAGGCCCGGCGCACGUCGUCCUCCGACCUCUCCACAUGCUUACAAGGUUAGCUGUCCUUCCCCCAUUUAA